AUGAGCGCUGGCGGCGUGCUUAAUACAUGCAAGUCGAACGGACUGUUCUUCUUCGGAUGAACGGUUAGUGGCGUCCGGGUGAGUAACACGUAGGUGACCUGCCCCGAAGUGGGGAAUAACUACCCGAAAGGGUUGCUAAUUCCGCAUGUGCUCGGACAUUCAUUUGUCUGAGUAAAGCCGUAAGGCGCUUUGGGAGGGGCCUGCGGCCGAUUAGCUAGUUGGUAGGGUAAUGGCCUACCAAGGCGAAGAUCGGUAGCUGGGCGGAGAGGAUGAUCAGCCACACUGGCACUGAAACACGGGCCAGACUCCUACGGGAGGCAGCAGUAAGGAAGAUUGCACAAUGGGCGAAAGCCUGAUGCAGCAACGCCGCGUGGGGGAUGAAGGCCUUCGGGUCGUAAAACCCUUUUCUGGGGGAAGAGGAAGGACGGUACCCCAGGAAUAAGCACCGGCUAACUACGU
rnacentral:rRNA from 1 species